GACUCAGGAUUGAUUUCCUACGUUGGUUUGGUCAGGAUCCCCGGGGGUGACCUCCAGCUCCCGGCUCUAUCGCUAGCUACUAAGGAAAGGCAAAAUGUGUGGUUAGCCUAACAAGCCAUUAUAACAUUGUC
rnacentral:ncRNA from 1 species